GGUUAGAUGGCACUUUGGGGCUUCCAUCCUGGGGAAUAUCAGACCUAUGGAAAAGGUCCAACCUUACAUGUCCUGUAUAUAAUAAAGAGGGCUAUGUGCGUUUGGACCUAUCCCACAGGCCCUGUAUUCUUACGCAGAGACCUUAACAUGCCAUCUGAUCU
rnacentral:miRNA from 1 species